rnacentral:rRNA from 1 species
AUGGAUCGAUGGUGUGUUGUUGCAGUGACAAAUGGAGAAGCUAGCCAGUUUUUCUCAGUGGAGUUUGAGCACAAUGAAAUUUUCUUGGGGGAAUGCAUAGGUGGAGAAUUGAAGUUCUCUUACAUUGGGUGCAGUCAUGAAGCUUUUGACUACUGUCAUUCAGACACAUGGUUACUGGGGAUGAUCAAGUAUUGCUUGUCAAGGAUGGACUAUGACCAUACAGACCCUCAAAUCAAGGUGUACUGGAUUUUUCCAGAUAAAGACUAUGGUGAUGGCCUGCUAUGUGUGGACAAUCCAGAUGUUAUAGCUGCUAUGGUGAGGUCCAGCAGAGAAGCCAAGACAUUGGAUUUGUUAGUUGAUGAGGAGAACAAGAUUCAGACAUUAUAUCCUGAAAUCAUACUAAAAGGAUGCCCAACUGCAGAUGGAAAUGAGGAUGAAGAACAAGGAGAGGAUGCAGAUCAAGAUGCAGAGAAUGCAGAGGAAGGAGAGGAUGCAGAGGCAGAUCAUGAUGCAGAGAAUGCAAUGGAAGGAGAGGAUGCAGAGGCAGAUCAUGAUGCAGAUGCAGACAAUGCAGAUAAUGCAGUUGAAAACAAUGAUGGAGAAGAAGAGUUGAAUGAAACUGACUCAGACUUUUAUGAGAGUGACUAUGAUUGUGAAGAUGGAGAUGAUGAUUUGUUUGCUCAGAAUGUGGACAAAUUAUUGGAUGACAACAAUGAAGAAGAGGAAGAGAUAUUUGAGGAGGAAGAUCCACUUGAUGAUGAUGAUCUCAACCUGUCAAAAGAUGAGUUGGAGAAGUUGAAAUAUACAUUCAGAACAUUCAAUGCAGAUAUGGACAUGAGCAACCCAAUCUUCAGGGUUGGGCAAGUAUUUGAAGAAAUGAAAGAGCUAAGGGAAGCAGUCACUGCAUACACAGUCAAAAACAGAGUGAAAAUCAUCAAAGCUAGAAAUGAGGCAGAGAGAUUCAUUGGUGUGUGUCAACCUGAUUGCCCUUGGAGGUUGAAAGCAUCUAGAGACAAUAGAACGGGAAGCAUUGUCAUCAGAGAGUACAAUGCAUAG